UAUCUUUGCGCGUUACAAGUUACAACUGUAUGUAUUUUGUCCCUAUUUAUACUUGGAAGACAUUGCUUCUCCAAGCUAUUCCCAAAUCUAAAGGCACCACAUUUCUUAGACUUCUUCAAUUUUCAUCGUCUCUCUCAUCAGCUCUUGGUAUUGAGAUUCUACUACUCCCUUUUAUUUUUGCUGAUUGGUGAAGAAAUUUGUGUGAAUCUUGAUUUCUUUUUCUGGGUAUAUUGCAAUUGAUCAGUUUCAAAGGCUUGAAUCAAGUAACAUUAUAAACAGCUUGCUCAAGCAUAGGGAAAGGGUUUCGAGUUGUAGUUGGUUUUGUUUAUUUUCUUGAUCUGUUUUCGAUCUGAAUUGAAACCAUGGGGAGUCACCCGAGCAAGAAUCCCACUGAACAACCUUCUACGGCCAUCAAUAUACAAUACACAACUGACCUCAGCUCUUAUGAAGACGCCUGCAGGCUCGACACAGAUUUGCAGUCUUUCGACACAACUCUCCAAGCCCGGACUAGUCAUGUCCUCAACACCCUCACAGCAGGGGUUGAAGUGAGGGCAGUCUCGUUCGAUUCUCUGAAACAAGUCACAGAAUGUCUUCUGGACAUGAACCAAGAGGUGGUUAAAGUGAUCUUGGAAUGCAAGGAGGACAUAUGGAAGACUCAGGAACUGUUUGAGUUGGUGCAGGAGUACUUUGAGAAUAGCUUGCAGACUCUGGAUUUCUGUACUGCAUUAGAGAAUUGCUUAAAGCGAGCACGCAACAGCCAAUUGCUUAUUCUUGUUGCACUCCAAUAUUUUGAGGAGGAGGAGGAGGAGGAUGGGGUUGGCCGAGGAGGGAAUAGGUACACGAGGACUCUGGAGGAAUUGAAGAAAUUUAAGGCUGCCGGUGACCCUUUCACUGGAGAAUUCUUCGAAGCUUAUCAAUCUGUGUAUAAGCAGCAAAUGCAGAUGCUUGAGAAGUUGCAGCUUCGGAGGAACAGGCUCGAUAAGAAGCUCAAACAUGUCCGUGCUUGGAGGAAGGUCUCUAGUGUAAUAUUUGCAGCCACGCUGGCUGCUGUGUUGAUUUGUUCUGUUGUGGCAGCGGCUAUGGCUGCUCCGCCUGUUGCAGCUGCCCUCACUGCAGCCACUUCUGUCCCGUUGGGCUCCAUGGGUAAGUGGAUUGAUUCUCUUUUCAAGAAGUAUGAAGAUGCUGUGAAAGGACAGAAGGAGAUCAUUAGCUCUAUGCAAGUGGGCACUCAUGUUGCUAUCAAGGACUUGGACAACAUCCGAGUACUGAUAGACCGGUUGGAGAUUGAGAUCGAAUCGCUGUUGCAGAAUGCUGAAUUCGCUAUUAGUGAAGAGUCUGUGAAGAUUGGGAUAGAGGAGAUGAAGAAGAAGCUCGGAGUGUUUAUGAAGUAUGUUGAGGAUUUGGGGGUGCAAGCUGAUACGUGCAGCCGGGAUAUUGUCAAGGCAAGGACUGUGGUUCUUCAGAGGAUCAUAAGACAACCCAACCAUUAACAGAAGGCCUUAAUUCCUUGAUAACAUUAUAAACAGCUUGCUCAAGCAUAGGGAAAGGGUUUCGGGUUGUAGUUGGUUUUGUUUAUUUUCUUGAUCUGUUUCGAUCUGAAUUGAAACCGUGGGGAGUCACCCGAGCAAGAAUCCCACUGAACAAACUUCGACGGCCAUCAAUAUACAAUACACAACUAAGCUCAGCUCUUAUGAAGACGCCUGCAGACUUGACACAGAUUUGCAGUCCUUCGACACAACACUCCAAGCCCGGACUAGUCAUGUCAUCAACACCCUCGCAGCAGGGGUUGAAGUCAGGGCAGUCUCGUUCGAUUCUCUGAAACAAGUCACGGAAUGUCUUCUGGACAUGAACCAAGAGGUGGUUAGGGUGACCUUGGAAUGCAAGGAGGACAUAUGGAAGACUCAGGAACUGUUUGAGCUGGUGCAGGAGUAGUUUGAGAAUAGCUUGCAGACACUGGAUUUCUGUACUGCAUUAGAGAAUUGCCUAGAGCGAGCACGCAACAGCCUAUUGCUUAUUCUUGUUGCGCUCCAAUAUUUUGAGGAGGAGGAAGAGGAUGGGGUUGGCCGAGGAGGGAAUAGGUACACGAGGACUCUGGAGGAAUUGAAGAAAUUUAAGGCUGCCGGUGACCCUUUCACUGAAGAGUUCUUCGAAGCUUAUCAAUCUGUGUAUAGGCAGCAAAUGCAGAUGCUUGAGAAGUUGCAGCUUUGGAGGAACAGGCUCGAUAAGAAGCUCAAACAUGUCCGUGCUUGGAGGAAGGUCUCUAGUGUAAUAUUUGCAGCCACAUUGGCUGCUGUGCUGAUUUGUUCUGUCAUGGCAGAGGCUAUGGCUACUCCGCCUGUUGCAGCUGCCCUCACUGCAGCCACUUCUGUCCCGUUGGGCUCAAUGGGUGUAAUACCCCUAAUUUUAAAAGGAUAGUCUCGGUAUGUGUCAGGAGUAGGGAUUGUUCGUGCUGAGCAAGGAGCAUCUACUUCACUCUUCCGGUUUAUCUACAUAGGAGUUUCCUGAUAUAAACAGUUAUUGCUGUCAUUUGUUUAGUUUGGAUUUUCUUGGUGUCCGAACAGUAUGGAUUCCCGAGUGUAUUAAUAGAGGAGUGAUUAUAUCAUAAUGUUUUAAUUUUAAUAAGAAUUUAUUCUGAAGAGUUUGGGUUA